rnacentral:rRNA from 1 species
AGAACGAACGCUGGCGGCAGGCUUAACACAUGCAAGUCGAACGGAUAUAGCAAUAUAUUAGUGGCGCACGGGUGAGUAACGCGUGGGAACGUGCCUUUUGGUUCGGGAUAACAGUUGGAAACGACUGCUAAUACCGAAUAUACCCUCCGGGGGAAAGAUUUAUCGCCAAAAGAUCGGCCCGCGUAAGAUUAGGUAGUUGGUGGGGUAAUGGCCUACCAAGCCUACGAUCUUUAGCUGGUCUGAGAGGAUGAUCAGCCACACUGGAACUGAGACACGGUCCAGACUCCUACGGGAGGCAGCAGUGGGGAAUAUUGGACAAUGGGCGAAAGCCUGAUCCAGCCAUGCCGCGUGUGUGAUGAAGGCCUUAGGGUUGUAAAGCACUUUUGUCAGGGAGAUAAUGACGGUACCUGAAGAAUAAGCACCGGCUAACUUCGUGCCAGCAGCCGC